CUUCCUUCCUUCCUUCCUUCCUUCCUUCCUUCCUUCCUUCCUUCCUUCCUUCCUUCCUUCCUUCCUUCCUUCCUUCCUUCCUCCCUUCCUCCCUUCCUCCCUUCCUCCCUUCCUCCCUUCCUCCCUUCCUCCCUUCCUCCCUUCCUCCCUUCCUCCCUUCCUCCCUUCCUCCCUUCCUCCCUUCCUCCCUUCCUCCCUUCCUCCCUCCCGCAGAUCUGUCUUGGUCACUCCUCACCAGACUCAAAGGGCUGUAAAAUUGUAGCUCACCAAAUGCAGCCAGACCACAGUGAAACAGGCCCUACCAGUUAGGAAACAACUGGGCAAGUUCCCCCCUUCCCUUCUGUUGGACAAGCCACUGCUUCAUGCUGACACAAAGGACUCUUUCUCUGGCAAAAAGCAAGAAUUGAAACAGGAGGUCCAUCUAAAGGGACAUCAUUAGGGAAAUCAAUCCCAGUGAGGAAAUCAGGAUUAAGUCAUCAGCUAUUACUCCGCACAGGAAUGCGUCAUUUCAGCUCUGCUCCUGUUGAGGUCACAACUGCUGUUCUCCAUAGGGUGGUGGUUGUGUUUACCUUCCUGUCAUUAAUCCACAGACAGCCUUUGGAUGUUGAAAAGGCCACUCCUAUGUACAACAUGACAGCUACAUUGACUCUCCAGCUUGGGGAAGAAUUCAUAAUCUAAUGAGUGUGAUCACAAAUGAGAAUUAUUUCUCACAGACACUGUAUAUUCUAAGAAAGGACAUGGAAUCUUCAAAUCCAACAGCUGCUCCCCUGGACUAUUCUACCUUAUGCUGACAAAAAAACAGAAGCUGUUAAACAGGGAAGAUUGCUGAACUAGCCUAUCUUGUAUUAUUUCUCCUUACAUUUGUGUUGGAAAAUACAUGU